ACCAUCAGGUCAAUUCAACAAGCAUUUCUCAAGGGUGUGCCAUAUGUAAAGCACUGACUUUGGUGUAGUGAGGACAGAAAAAGACUGGGCCAAACCUUCAGGAGUCACGGCAUAAAAGGGUUGAUGUACAAAACUCUAAUAAGGGGCAGACUGACUUCUUUACAUACACAAACUCAAGUUUCCGGGAUGUGUGGUGUUUCCCAGUUACAUUGAUUAUCAAGUAAGCUAUUGAGAAGCAACCAGGGAUGUUUUUAAAAUGAUGAAAAAUAAAGAAAAACAGUCCAGUGCCAUUAGUAAGACACAGAAGGUGGUUUUGGGAGAAGUGCUAGAAUCCAGUACAUUUUGACCAACACGUGUUAAAUGACCGAUGUAUGACAGGCUUUAUGUUAAGGGUUGAGGGCUCAGAGAUAAAUAAGACAUGAUUUUGGCCUCAGUAGCUUGAAGUCCAGCUGGGGAGGCAGCCGAGGAAACAGAUAAUUAUAGACCUGCACUGUCCUCACACAUCCUGCACUUGGGUGACCGCUGGAUGCUAAGGAGCAGAGAUGAGGACGUCACACUCAGGGUGAUUUUGAUUAAACAUUAAAGAACAAGCACUAUGAAGAGGCUUUUACUUUUUUAUUUUUUUUUAAGUCAGUGAAUGAAAUGCUGUGAUUCCUCUGGCAGCCCUUUAGAGGUAGGAAUAUAGUUUUGGAAUUUUGAGAUUUUUGUUAAGGACUUCAGCUCCUGAACAGUGGGCAGGGCAGACCUAGACGAUGUCUCCUGUGAACUCUUCUUCCUCCGUUUCUCUUUUCAUCGUCUUUCUCUUUCAUCAGCGAGGAUGGAAGCAACAGUAAUGAGGACCCAUUCUCCUUGUCAACACCCCCGCCACACAGACCACCCACCCCGGGGUGGGAGAAGAUUUUAAGCUUUGUGAGAGGGGGCCCAAAGAUGACGUCUGAUUAAGGGCUGCUUCACUGGGCCCCAAGGAAAAGAAUAUGGUGUGUAUAUUCAAACUGCUUUUGGUUUGGGAUCUAGACCCACAGAGGUGGUUCUCUGUUCCUGGGAAUGACCCAGCCUUGCCUUUCCUUUCCACCUGACACCACUGGAGCUGCACACACAUUGUUUUCAGAACAAGAGUGACAGAGGCAAUGACCUGGGGCAUAAGUUGCCAAUUUCUCCCCUCUUGGCUAGAGAGGAACCCCCCCCCAACAACAACUGGGUCCAUCUUGUCAGGAGCCUCCCCAUCGUAAUCCUCCUCCUCAAGUUGUUGAGAGUGACAGAAGCAGCGCUGUGUUUUAUGUGUGCUGUCUAUUGUGGCUCUUACAAGGUUGUGGCUGCAGAGGGGCAGUAGCUAAAUUGGGGAGGGUAAUCUUUUCUACCAGGUAAGACUGGUUUGCACUAGAUUUAUAUGAGAACUGAGUGGAAGGAAAAAUGGAGUAAUAGAGAAGAUUUUUCAUUUUAAAAGACUAUUUAAGGAGGAAAAUUCCCAUUGUGGCUCAGUGGUUAACGAAUCCGACUAGGAACCAUGAGGUUGCGGGUUUGAUCCCUGCCCUUGCUCAGUGGGUUAAGGAUCUGGCAUUGCCAUGAGCUAUGGUGCAGGUUGCAGACGUGGCCCGGAUCCCACGUUGCUGUGGCUCUGGUGUAGGCCAGCAGCUACAGCUUCGAUUCAACCCCUAGCCUGGGAACCUCCAUAUGCCUCAGGUGCGGUCCUAAAAAAGGCAAAAAGACAAAAAAAAAUAAUAAUAAAAUAAAAAAAAAUAAAAGGUGCCUUUUAUCUUAUUUGUGGGUGAAAUAAAUGUCAUGUUGUCUGUAAUUCAUUUCAGAAUAGUUCUGUAAAAAUUAGGAGGCAAGUCUGGCACCAAAUCAUAAUUAUUAAAUUUAGGUUGUGAGUAUAUGGGGAUAAUUAUUUUUUGUACUCUUUGAUAUGGGUUGAAACAUUUUAUAACAAAACAUUAAAAGAAUGAAGAGUAAAGGCUCUGGAGCCAGACCUCAUGGGUCUGAAUCCUGGUAUGUGAUCUGACCUCUUUGUGCCAUUUCUCUUCCUUGAAAUGGGACGGUUGAUAAAGGAACCUGCUGCAUGGGAUUGUGUGAAGGCUGAGUCGUAUAACACAUAAAAUACUUAGAUCCAGGUCCUGUAUAUAGAUACUCAAUAUACUGUUAUCAUUGAAAAUAAGCCAUCUCGGAGUUCCUGUUGUGGCUCAGUGGUUAACGAAUCCUACUAGGUAACUUGAGGUUGCGGGUUUGAUUCCCUGGCCUUGCUCAGUGGGUUAAUGAUCUGGUGUUGCCAUGAACUGUGGUGUAGGUCGAAGACGCAGCUUGGAUCUGGUGUUGCUGUGGCUGUGGUGUAGGCCGGCAGCUACAGCUCCAAUUAGACCCCUAGCCUGGGAACCUCCAUGUGCCACGAGUGCGACCCUAG
rnacentral:lncRNA from 1 species